UGGGGAAUUUUGCGCAAUGGGCGAAAGCCUGACGCAGCAACGCCGCGUGGAGGAUGAAGGUCCUUGGAUUGUAAACUCCUGUCAGCGGGGACGAAAUACUCCGGCCGAAUACGCCGGAGGGUUGACGGUACCCGCAGAGGAAGCCCCGGCUAACUCUGUGCCAGCAGCCGCGGUAAUACAGAGGGGGCAAGCGUUAUUCGGAAUUAUUGGGCGUAAAGGGCGCGUAGGCGGCAAGGCAAGUGGAAGGUGAAAUCCCUCGGCUCAACUGAGGAACUGCCUUCCAAACUGCUCUGCUUGAGUCCGGGAGAGGUGAGUGGAAUUCCCAGUGUAGCGGUGAAAUGCGUAGAUAUUGGGAGGAACACCAGUGGCGAAGGCGGCUCACUGGACCGGAACUGACGCUGAGGCGCGAAAGCGUGGGGAGCAAACGGG
rnacentral:rRNA from 1 species